rnacentral:lncRNA from 1 species
GGUCAAAAGCACGUGGACGUAGUUGUGCAAAAGUUUGGCGUUGGAAUUCUCAAAUCCAGUCAUUGUAUCUGUCAAGGUUGUCUCAAAGGCUUGUUUUCUACGGGUACCUCGGGAACCACUUGCGAUAGCAACUCUUGAGCUUCCUGCACCUCUUUGUGUAUUACUUGCACGGCUUACAUUCCCCGUUGUUGAGUUCUGGAAGAAGGAAUUCAGGUCGCAUCCCGGGUGAAUUCGGUUGAAGGACGUGAUUCAUCGUCAAUGUUAACACGAUACACCUCUUCAUUUUCUUGUGUUUUGGGAACUUGAGUUUGUUCCCUAUCACUUCCAUCUGUGUCUGAAUUCACAUGCUCUUCUUCAUUAUCUACACCCUCGUACAUCAUCUCUACUCUUCUUUGGUUUACAGAAUAUUGAGGUUGUGAAUGAACAUCAUAUAAUGAGAAACAACGUUCCAUCACUUCCCAAAAUUCUGGUGGUUUUCGAUGAAGUGAUUUUAUUAUUCUACAUAGGCCUGGGCAUGUGGGUAUUCGGGUCGGGUUCGGGUCGGGUCUUUCGGGUUCGGGUUUUUCUGGUUUAGAAAUUUUGGACCCGUUGGGUUAUAUGUAUAAUUUCGGGUCGGGUUCGGUUCGGGUUCACUUCGAGUCCAGGUAAUUCGGGUAUUGGUUAAAGAACCCAUAAAUAACCAAAACUAUUUCGGGUUUGAGUACUACUUACCCAAACUUUGUCCAAAUAUACCCAAACAUACAUAAAAGUACCCAUAAAACCCGAAAGAUCUGAAAUUAUAACAAGUUGUUCCUUAAGACAAUAAUAUAAAACAAGAAGUAAACCUUGUUUUGAGUUUGUUCCAUAAUUUAAAUCAUUAAACAAGUCAUAAAUUCAAGUUAUUAGUGCAUAUAUGUCCUCAUAUGUGUAUAUAUGUUCGGGUAAUAAAAAAUACUCACGGGUAUUGGGUUCGGUUCGGGUAAUACCCGAUACCCACAGUUAUUUGAAAACAGAACCCGAUCGGGUAAUCAGCCAGAACCGAAAUAGAACGGGUUUGGGUAUUUCGGAUCGGGUUCGGUUUGGUUCUUCGGGUUCGGGUAUUAUGCCCAGGCCUAAUUCUACACCCCUGUUAAAAAAAUUAUAAAUUUUUUAUACAUCUAUAUUAGUUAAACAAAUAUUUUUGGUAAUGAGAUAAAUAAUAAUUAAUUACCGCUUCAUGGUCUUUCCACCAUUGUUGAAAUGCAGAUAUCAUGGAUAUUGUCGGAUCAACUGAAAUGCCGGUGGACGUUUUCAUAAGAGCUUUCCACUUCUUAUAUUGAAUUCUUCAUUGAACUUUCGAGUGAUAAACUCUCUACCAUAAGGCGUCGGAUCUUUAAGAGAGUAAUUAUUCAUGGCUAGUGUUUCGGCAUACAAUUCAAUGAGUCUUCUUUUUCGUUGAUAAGUCCAUUUAAAAUUAGCUUCACUCUACGAUUUUAAGAACAUAUAUUUAUAAUUUAAAUAAAAAAAAAUAUGAAUACAUUAUAAAUUCUAAACUAAUUACAAUAAUAAAAAAAUUACCCGUGCUGUUAUUUGAUUAUGAGCACUUGUGUUGCCUUCCUCGAAAGAAUUUGUGUUUCCUCGACGAUUUGAUGCCAUUUCUACAAUCGACUGGUUAAAAAUAAGAAAAAUUUACUCAGAUGUUAUAGAAAAAUAUGUUUAUUAUUAGAAUAUCAUAUAUCUUUUAAAAAUUACUCAUAUGUUUUGAGCAUUUGUGUAAUUACAAUUAACACCCUUAUUAGUUUUUUUUAAUUAAUAAUUCUUAAUUCGUUUUUAAUUAAAAAUAAUAAAUAAAAAUUUGAUUAUCCAUGUCAUUAAUCCACAUCACCAAUCCCAUACUCCUCAAACUCACGUUAUUUCUCCUCUUCUCUUUUUUUUUGUCUCCAAAUCCAAGAAAAGCUUUUAGAUCUAAUAUUUUGCAACUAACUUGGGUACAACAUUGACAGAGAUCUUCAAAUUGCAGGAUUGGGCUGGAUCUUCUUAUACCUCACAGCCGCAACGCUUGCCAUAGGGUCCCAAAUCAAAAGCUUCGUCAGAUCUACUCGCAACCUCGCUAACGAAAAAAGUCAUCAAAAAUCAAAACCCAAAUCAAAGAGAUCUAUGGAAUUCUACAUGAUUCGUUACAGGUUUGAGUUGAAAUCAAGAAUAUCUACUCUUUUACUUUGAUUUUACAUGUCUCUCGUUUAAUCUUCCUCUCAAUCGAUCUAUUUGGAGACAUUUCUACUUCUAUCUAUGUUUUGAUUCAUACGGUUUAGUCUUCCUCCUAUGUAUCCCUCAAACAUAUUUUUACGAAUCUUAAUUUGAUUGUCGUUAUUUGACCAAUAAAUUUCAUAUUGUCUUCUCCAAAAAAAAUGUUGCUUUCCGAUCUGUAUUAUAAAUCAGCCGUAAAGUGAUGUAACUCAGCCGUAACAUGUAUUUUACACAACCUUUCGUCUUCCCUGAAUGAUAACUCAGCCGUGACAUGUAAUUUACUGAACCUUUCGUCUUCCCUGAAGCAUAUAAUUCAGCCGUAACAUAUAAUUUACACCCAUCUUUCGUCUUCCCUGAAGAAUAUAACUCAGCCGUGACAUGUAAAUUUACCGAACCUUUCGUCUUCCCUUAAACAUCUAACUCAGCCGUAAUGUAAUUUUACCGAACCUUUUCGUCGUCCCUGGAACAUAUAACUCAGCCGUGACAUGUAAAUUGACCAAACCUUUCGUCUUUCCUUAAGCAUAUAACUCAGCCGUAAUGUAAUUUUACCGAACCUUUCGUCUUCCCUGGAACAUAUAACUCAGCCGUGACAUGUAAAUUGACCAAACUUUUCGUCUUCCCUUAAGCAUAUAACUCAGCCGUGACAUGUAAAUUUGCCGCCAAACAAUAAGAGACGCAACAUUUCGUCUAACUUUAUCAUCGAGCACCAACUUCACAAGUUUUUCGUGCGUUGUUUCCGCAUCUUUCUGCACAACUCUACACCCUCUGUCAUCGGUGUUAAAUAUGUAUUUGUGUUUCUAUACCCAAUUACCGGAACCGGAUCAACCAUAUCGGGAGAAGAAUGAAAGAAAUUGAAGAAGAAUGAGGAAGACGAUGAGGAAUUGCAAGUUCCGGUGAUGUUAAAAACUCAGGUGAAGAAGACGUGUUGAAAAAAUUUGGCCCUAUUUUUUUGUCCUUUGAUGAUGAUGACAUGGAAUGUUGCAUCCACGUCAUUUUUUAAUUGAUGAAGUGGCAAGUAAGCCACCAAACGAAAAUGUAAAUCAGCUUAAUUAAACCAGCCAUCAAACAAAAUUUUAACUUAGCCGCAACAUGAAUACUAUUACAGUACAAUAAGUAAAAAACAAAAAAAUGGCAGCGAAAUUCAGCCGUUUACUGUCGUAACUCAACCAAAAAUAUUUAACUCAGCCGUGUCGUUUAAUAAGUCGGCUAUCAAUGGAUGCUAUUCUAGUAAUUAAUCUUUCGCUACUAAUUCAGCCGUAAUAUGGCCGAGUUUUCCGUUAAUCCAGCUCAUUACGGCUGAUUUAUGACACUCGAACAUAAAUCAGCUGUAACGUCAUCCCAUAACUAAGCCGUCUUUGAUAACUCAGCCAGCCGGAGAAAGUUAAGUCAGCCGUGUCGAAGCAAUAACUCAGCCAAAAAUUUGACAAAUCAACCAUCGGGUGAAAACUCAGCCGUAACUUAUGCUGGGUUAUGCUCGAAAGUCAGCCGUUUUAUCAUAACUCGGGCAGAUUUCAGUAAGUCAGACGUAACUCCAGGCUGGAUUAUACUCGUAAGUCAGCCGUUUGCUCAUAACUCAGCCAUUUUUCUUAAAUCAGCCGCAACAUACCGUAACUCAGCCGUCACUGCCGCUAUAUCGUUUGACGGCUGAGUUCAUUAAUACACGUCAGCGAUUUCUGACGUGGCGACGCGGCUUUGCUGAAGUGGCAGUGGCAUUCUUUGUAAUUACGUUUUUUCCUGUAACGUUUAACAGGGGCACGUUGGGUAUAAAAAAUAUACCCAAAAUAUGAUAGUAAUAUAAAAAAGAUCUGUAUGUUUCUAGUAAUUUCAUAUAAAAUGUUAUACAUCUGAGUAAAGUUCCCUAAAAAUAAAGUUAGCAUAUUGUAUUAUUUAAAAUUUUUAUAAUAACUUGUAACAUAAUAAAAUAGCAUAAUCCUUACAAACCAAUAUAUUUAAAUUAAACUAAUUUACUUAUAAAAUUGUGUGGUUUAUAAAAUUUAUCUAAAAUAUUGUAGUUCAUAUAGAAUAAUUUUUUUUUUUUAAUUUAACACAUUAGUAUUACAAAUCAAAAAAGUUUUUACAUUUAAACUGUUUUAUAACUAAAAUAAUAAAAAGGUGUUGUGAAUUUAAUUUAUUUGUUAUUUAAUAUCCCAUUUAAUAUUUUAUACAUUUAUUUAAUAAAUUUAUUAACAAUAUAUUUACUAGCUUAAAAAAUAAUAAUUGCUAAUAUAAGAUUCACUGUAAAAUUUAUAUCCUACUACUAUAUAAUAGUUACUUAAAUUUUAAAAAUAAAUCAAAAUGUAAGUUCAACUUUUUUUUAUAAUUUUAUAACUUAUUUUACAAAAUUAUAAGUAAUACAUUCAUAUUGCAAUUAAUGAGCAUUUCUAAAAUUAAUAAUCAUUUGUACGUAAUUUAAUUUUAAAUUUUCUAUUAUUUUUGAAAAAUUCAUAUUUCAAAAAAUAAGAAAUGUAUUUUGAUUUUAAUAAUCUAAAAUUACUUUAACUUCAAAUGUUCUUUUAAAUUUUUAUAACUCAUUUUAUAAAAAUCACAAGAAAUACAUAUAUUUGUGUUACUCACUUUUAAGCUAUGUUCAAAAGAAUAUAUGUUAUUAGCCAUAACUUUUUAUAAAGUUAUAUCACUUUUAAGCUAUUUUCAAAUCAGUAUUGUAGAUUAGAGGAAAUUUGUAAAAUCUCUCCAAAAUUUUAAAUAUUUUCAAAACUCUACUUUUUAAUAUUUGAAAACUAAUUUUUUGUAAAUAUAUCAUUUAUAAAAUUAAUCAUAACAGGUCUUAAUUUUUAUUUUCUAACUAUGAUAUAUAUCUUAAUCCUUUUGUUUUUAUUGUAUUUAAUUUUUUAUUUUAUAAUAUCUUCUUCAUCUUCAUAAUUUGCAAAAAAAAAAAAGUUAGGGAUGAAAAACAAACCUAAACUCCAAGCUAAUGCAGAGGAGAAAAAAAUCGUGCCCUUUUGUUUUUUUGAUUGUUUGUUCUUCAAGUACAUACCUUAUGAAGAUUUUUAAUAUAUUAGAACCCCUAACACUUAAGUAGGUAAAAAAAGAAGGUUGGUAUAUCACGUUUUUUUUUUGCUGAUUAUCAUUUCAUUUUUUUAUUAAUAAAAAAAAACAUAAAUGCACCGCAAACACGCCACACCACAUGUAGUUUUACUGUUCAAGGCAUUUCAAUCUUCUUUCUUCACAAAAUCUGGCCCGCUUAUACAGUAAGUAUUUUUUUUUUUUUUUUAAUUGGACUGUCUUUUUGUACCACCUUUUAUUAGAUGAAUUGUGACAAAACCAUAGUUCACCCACACUGCGGUUGACCCACCCUUAAUUCCACACACCAUUCGCAACCUUAGUCAUUUUGGAUUGUUGUGAUGUUAAACUUUUUUUCUCUGUCCAUGGACAUAUCCAUUUGGUCAUUGUCAUUUUUGGACUUGGUCAAUUUUGGACUUGGUCACUUUUGUGUUUGGUCAUUUUUGUUAACAAAAAAAAAGUGUCCAACUGGACAAGACCAUAUGGUCAUGGUCAAGACCAAUUGACAGCUCUAGCAGAGGGAGUCAAAACUUGGGAUUAUUAGACGCAAGGGCAUUUUCGUCACUGCACUAAUUCUCUUUUUGCUCUAUUAGAAGGAGAUUCUAUUAGACUCACCCUUUCUUUUUUCCGACCAAGUUCGUCAUCAGAACUUCUGUUUUUGUCAAAACGAUGGACAUAUGUACAGGCUGCUUCUAUAAAAGAAACUAUAACUCACUACACAUUGGUAUAGUUAUAGAGAUAAACUUCAUCAUCUUGAUGACUGUGUUCCUAUUUAGGGUUUUGUUUAUAGAAGCAGCCUUUGCAACAUAAUGAAAUGAGUUCCAAGAGUUCGGAGACGCCGAUAGAGUAGCCCACCUCGACCACAACGGUGAAGAUCCCUAGAACCAUUCGAAGCAGAUUUGGGGCGAGCUGGGGAAAAGCUAUAUUCAAAGUUUUGAGAUAUCGAACCAACACUUCAGGGAGUGGGAAGAACAGCCCGCAUCCUUUGAAAUAAAUUUCGUAAAAACAAAAGUAGUCUGGACGGUGGUUCUCUAGGAAUUCAGUCAGGUAAGGAUAGCCGAUAUCCCGCUGGAUCUCCUCCUGGAAUUCAGCACAAUCUUCCGAAGUUCGCAAGGGACUAGAGAGUACAGCCAGUGCGAAAGUGUGGACCGGUGAUGUCAUUCGGGUGAGUACAUAUUGACUGAGAAGAAGGGUUAGGAGAGGAAUCUCUCUCCAGCGAUUCAGCUCUAGGGGAGUUGGUUCUAGAAGGCAAAGAGCUCAUUCUCGGAUUGAUCGAAGAAAUCGAAGUAAGAAAAUAAAAAGAAGGGAUUCUUUCGCGAAAGAAGAGCCAAGGAGAUUUGUCCAGCGAAAGAUACAGAAGCAGUAAAGUAAAGAACAAUGAAAAAAAAAAGCUACCUUUUUAAGUUAGUGGCUGAGAAUGAAACCGCCUCGGUAAUCGUGGGAAAAGUGGGAGAGUUUUCUCCUCUUAAAUAAUAUUUUAUGGGACUCAAAUUAAUUAAUUUGACAGAUUUCAUCAUGAGUAAUCAUGAAAAUUCUUGAAAUCCGAAGGAUGUGAUCGUGGAGUCAGAGAUCGUCUCAAACAAUCUUUGCUAUUAAGUAAUUAAGUCCUCCGAACUAAAGAAACAGCUCGAAGAACUUAAGGGGCUAAUUGUUGAUGUCGGAUCCCGAACUUAGUGUUCAGAUGCACCCAAAGAAUGUCAUGUAGGACUAGAGUCAACAAAACAAUGGUCAACAGAAUACACCCCCGAACCGGAGUAAGUAUCCGAGGCAAAGAUCUUGAAGAAGUUGGCCGAAGCGGAAAAAAGCUCAAGAAGCAAGUAAUGGGCCGAGAGCUCGAAGGCCUAAGAAGGAUUCAAGAAAAUUCAAAGAGAAACGUUAUGGCAUUCAUUGGAGAAUCAAAAUGGACACAUUUAAGAGUAUUCAUUGCAUUAAUUAGCUAAUUAAUGUAAUUAUUUGUGUAUAAAUACGAGACACCCCCCUCCCCCCAAAUCUCUUCUAUUAGUAUAAAAUUUUUAGCAUAAAAUAUAGUAUUUCGUAAAAUUUAAAAGAUAAAUAUUCGAGCAUAAAUAUAAUAAGCGAUAUACAACAUCUAUAAUGUCGACGAUAAUGUUUCUUUGACAAAUAAAUAGUUUGAUAUAUAUCGUGUUGUAACAAAUAUCACUUAAAAAAUUCGCAAAAGAAUAAAAGAUAUCGACCACCAUCUAAAGAUCCAUUUAUCUUAUCUUUAAAAGAGUUUCUUUCUUAUUCAUAUUCUAUGAGGACAUUUUUAAAGAGUUUUUAAGUUAAUUAUCGAUUGUAGAUCUAAUUGUAGAUAUUAUUUAUGAUUAAAUGUUGAUACGAACAUAACAUCAUUUCCUAUAAAAUGCGAAUAUACCGAGCUUCAUGAACAUUAUUUAGUGUAAAUGUACAUAUAUAGCGAGCUUGUUUUACCCAUCGAAGCAAGUGCAGCGCGCCAUAAGAGAAUUCUCUCCUAAGUCAUCAAUUGUGUCUAUCUUCUCUCACUUUGCAUGAUUACAUGGCUAAACGGUUAAGUCCAAGUUUGAAUCUAUUUUUUUUUUGUCAUCCGUAAUUAAAUAGUGCUCAAAAGAGCCAUUUCUGUGUAAUGUUGUUUACAUAAGUGAUAUGAAGCGGUUCUGUACGAACUUUUCGUGCCAGAUUGUCCGCUUUUACAUUUGCACAACGAGAAAUUAAAGAUAGAGAGAAGUUGGAGAAGUUUGAAUCUAGUAAUCUGUUUAACAAUUUAUGUCAUUUAUUUCUCUAAAAACUCAUUCGUUUCACACAAUGAAUGAGAUCUCAAACAUUUUACCUAGUCACGUGCAUUUAUCUUUCUAAGUCUUAGAAAUUUAUUUUCAAAUACUUUUAAUUACCAAUUCUCUCGUCAUCUUCUAUGAUAAACUCAUUGCCUGUUUACAUCUACUUUCUUUUCACAUUCUAUUGACUCAUAUAUAAUAUAUAUUGGGCAGUGAAUUUGAUUUUUAAGACAUAUCAUAACUAUUUUCUUCUUAAUUCUUAUCUUUCAAUACUGAAUAUUUUGGAUUAAAAACAUUUGAUUUAAUUGAUGAAAUACCAAACUUGUUUUUCUUUUUGAUCAUGUUAUAAUGUUAUAUUUCAACUUGAGAAUAUGCUACACAAAUUACAUAUCACAUUUUUUCUCACAGCUUACAUAUCAUUUUUUAUAUAUUUUGUUGUAGAACUCAUGAAUAAUGUGAUCAUUGAUUAUUUAUUUUUUAAAGAUGGAUGACCAAUUAAAGAGUUUUUUAAUAAUUAAUGUGUGGUUGACAAAUAAAAAAAAAAGAUGGAUGAUAAUGUUUUAAAAUUUUCAAGAUUUGUUUUCAUAAUUUAACAAGAUAAAAUGUGAUUUUUACAAUAUCUUCGGCUUAAAUUAUCAAUUUUACGUUCAAUUUAAUAAUUUUUAUUUUUUUUCUUUAUGUAAAUAAAUAAAAAUAUGUAGUAUAUUGUUCUUAGAAACUAAUGUCUUAGUCAGAUAAAAAUAAUGUCUUAGAAACUAAUGUCUUAGAAAUAAAAAAUAUAUAGUAUAUGAUGCAUCCGGAAAAGUCGCCAGGCCCGAUGUUAUGACAGCCUUAUUUUAUCAAAAGGCUUGGAUUACAAUUAAAUCAGAUCUUCUUGUUUUGGUUAAUUCUUUUUUAGAGGAUGGAAAUUCUGACAAACGGUUAAAUACGACAACCAUUUGUCUGAUUCCAAAAACGGAAAGACCAAUGACGGAAUUACGGCCUAUAAGUCUAUGUAAUGUGGGUUAUAAAAUUAUCUCGAAGAUUCUUUGCCAAAGACUUAAAACGGUUUUACCAAAACUGAUUUCGGAAACAUAAUCGGCUUUUGUCAAAGAUUUCGGAUAAUAUACUUGUUGCACAAGAAAUGAUUUUAGGGGUUGAGAGCUAACCCGUCAUGUAAAGGAAAAUUCAUGGCCAUCAAAACUGAUAUGACUAAAGCUUAUGACAGGGUGGAAUGGAUUUUCGUUGAGAAGGUUCUAAGAAAAUUGGGUUUCUACAAGAAAUGGAUUAAUUGGAUAAUGUGGUGUAUUACAACAGUUCAAUAUAGAGUGUUCCUUAAUGGGCAACUUCGAGGACUAAUUGUACCAGAAAGGGGAUUACAACAAGGAGACCCGCUAUCUCCUUAUUUAUUCAGCCUUUGUACAGAGGUGUUAAUUGCGAAUAUUCGGAAAGCAGAAAAGGAAAAAUAAAUUACGGGUAUUAAGAUAGCGAAUGCAAGCCCUUCGGUUUCACUUUUGUUAUUCGCGGAUGAUAGUUUCUUAUUUUUUAAGGCAAACAAGGACCACUGUGAGGUAAUUUUGGGGAUUUUAAAGAAGUAUGAAGCGGUCUCAGGACAACAGAUUAAUUUUGUAAAGCCAUCGAUUCAGUUUGGACAUAAGGUAGAUGAGGAUAUCAAAGUAGAAAUCAAAUCUUCCUUUGGAAUCGCUAAUAUCGGUGGGAUGGGGUCGUAUCUCGGUUUGCCGGAGAGUUUGGAUGGAUCUAAAAAAAAAAUCUUCUCUUGUGUUAGAGAUAGAUUACAAACAAGAAUUAACGGAUGGUCGGCAAAAUUUUUAUCGAAAGGUGAGAAAGAAGUGAUGACUAAAUCGGUAGCUGCAGCAUUACCAACUUAUGUUAUGUCGUGCUUCAAACUGCCAAAAACAAUCACUUCUAAACUUCCUAGUGCGGUUGCUAAAUUUUGGUGGAGUUCAAAUGGGGAUUCCAAAGGUAUGCACUGGAUGGCUUGGAACAGGUUGUGCAAUAGCAAAUCGGAAGAAGAGUUAGGUUUUCGAAAUGUUGACGAUUUUAAUUCAGCCCUAUUAGCCAAACAAUUAUGGCGGUUAAUUACGGUCUAGAUUCUCUUUUCGCGAAGGUGUUUAGAGGGCGGUAUUUUCAGAAAUCCAAUCCUUUGGAAAAUUUAAAAUCAUACUCCCCAUCAUAUGGAUGGCGCAGUAUCUGUUCAGCUAGAUCUCUGGUUAAUAAAAGACUUGUUAAAAGAGUCGGAUCGGGGACAUCCAUCUCAGUUUUGGAGGAUCCCUGGAUUCCAGCUCAAUUCCCGAGACCAACAAAGAGUAAUGGUUCACUUGUUGAUCCAUUGCUAAAAGUUAACAAUCUUAUAGAUAGGCGGUCAAAUUUCUGGAAUAUUGCUCUCUUAGAAGAGAUCUUUGAUCAAGAAGAUGUCGCCCUAAUAAGUGCCCUACCUGUGGGUGCGCCAGCUAGAGAAGAUACAUUGGGUUGGUAUUUUACAAAAUCCGGAAAAUAUACAGUCAAAUCAGGAUAUAAUACCACAAUGUUAGAAAAGUUGGAGACCAAUUUAUCUUUGAUUGGCCCGGACAUCAAACCGUUAAAAUCACAUUCUUGGCAAGUGCAAUGUCCACCUAAGAUAAGUCAUUUCUUGUGGUAAAUCUUAACGGGUUGUGUACCAGUUACGGAAAAUUUAUGGAGAAGAGGUAUUUAUUGUGACAAAGGAUGUGCCAGAUAUGGCGAACCAGUGAAAAAAAUCAAUCAUACACUCUUUCAGUGCCACCCGGCACGACAGGUUUGGGCACUUUCCCAGAUUCCUACGGCAAUGGAAAUUUUUCCCACAAAGUCUAUUUUGCGAAUUUGGAUCACUUAUUUUGGAGAAUACCUUCAGAAUUUGAUUCUUCAGCUUUUCAAUGGAUUAUCUGAUAUAUUUGGAAAGCAAAAAAUGAAAAAAUCUUUGAAAAUAUUGAUAAAGAUCCGUUAGAGGUAUUACGGUUAGCGGAAAAAUAAGCACAAUUGUGGCAGUCAGCCCAAAUCGAGUUUUAUCAUGAAACUAUUGGUACUGUGGAAUUGGCAACUCGUUAUCGAGUGGGGGAUGCUUCACUUGAUUCGAAUUAUUUUGGAUGUCGUUGCUUUGUUGAUGGGUCAUGGAAAGAAAGUGAUAAAUUCUCUGGUACAGGAUGGUUCUGUACAUCUUCAAACGGAGAGUCGCCAACCAUGGGAGCUGCCAACCUCCGUAAAAGUCUAUCUCCAUUACAUACAGAAUUCGAGGCUCUUCUCUGGGCGAUGAAGUGUAUGAUUGGUGCAGAUAAUCAAGACAUAGCUUUCAUUACAUACUGUUCUGAUCUGGUGAAGAUGGUGUCUUCUCCAACCGAAUCGCCGGCGUUUUUAGUGUAUUUGGAAGAAUUCCAAAGUGAUAAGGAAGAAUUCUCAACCUUCUCUUUAUCUUUAAUUUCUGGUAAUGCUAAUGUAAAAGCGGAUAAUCUGGCAUAAAAAGUUUGUACAGACCAGCUUCAUAUCACAUAUGUAAACAACAUUCCUCAGAAAUAGCUCUUUUGGGCUCUAAUUAAUUUUGGAUGACAAAAAAAAACAAAAAAAAACUAAUGUCUUAGUUUAAAUUUAAUCUUCUUCUUUAUAAUUUUACAUAUGGAAUUGCAUAAAUUUAGUUUUAUACUUCUUUUCACCAUGCAUUUAAAUUACUUUCAUUCUAAAACUCACUAACACAUUUAAAAAUUUGAAGUAUGGUCAUUUUUAAGUUUUAUCUAAUAAAAGUUUAAUUAUAUUAUUACUACUAAUAAAAUUUUAAUAAUAUUAUAUUUAUUAUAUUAACAUCUCAUUUAUUUUACAUAAUUCGGUUUUUAUUUAUUUUAAUUUUUUAUUAAUUAUAAGUCACACAAAUAUGCAAUAAAUGAAUGUUUUAAUUUUUUUAAUCUUAUAAUAAAUUGUGUUGCUUAGGUAGAUCCUUAGGUGGAUUGGCUAGAUGGAGAGAAGACUCUGCUAUUAUAUAUAUAUAUAUAUAUAUAUAUAUAGAUUUUCUCUCUACAUUUUUGUCGACAUUUAAGUCUAUCUCCAUUAUAUACAGAAAUUCGAGGCUCUUCUCUGGACGAUGAAGUGUAUGAUUGGUGCAGAUAAUCAGUUUGUGAAUCCGACAUCAACAGAGUUCAUCAAAUGAUGGUUAAACGAUUCCCAUUUGAUGCAGGACGGUUUUUAGUGAGAUACUUGGGGUCCCUCUUGUAACUAAGAGCUUAACAGCAACUGAUUAUGCUCCCCUACUUGAGCAUAUUAAAAAACGGAUCAAGUCAUGGACGACUAGAUUUCUAUCAUAUGCGGGAAGGUUGAAUUUGAUAAAUUUUGUUCUAUGGAGUAUUUCAAACUUUUGGCUAGCUGCUUUCAAAGUUCCACGGGAAUGUAUUCAAGAAAUAGAAAAAAGGUGUUCCACUUUCUUUUGGUUGGGGCAAGUUUUAAAUCCGCGAAAAGCUAAAGUUUCAUGGCAUAAGUGUGUAAGCCAAAACAAGAGGGAGGCCUAGGAUUGAGAUCUCUUAAAGAAGCUAAUGAUGUUUGUUGUCUAAAACUGAUAUGGAGACUAGUCUCACAUGAUUCAUCGCUUUGGGUAAAAUGGAUCACCACAUAUCUACUUUAACAGGAAUCAUUAUGGAGUGUCCGAGAAAACAAAAGUUUAGGGUCGUGAAUAUGGAGAAAUUUUUUGAAACAAAGGGUAAUAUAAUGGCUAAAAAUUUCUAUAAUAAAGAUGUCUGAAAUGGCUCAUCGACAACAUUCUAGUUUGACAACUGGUCACAUCUAGGUUGUCUCAUGGAUAUAACAGGAUGUAGGGGUUAUAGACUCGGGAAUUGGAAAGAAUGGUUUAGUGGUUAAAGCUUGGAGCUCUCAGCGAAGACGGAUACACCGUGUUCAAAGUCUGAACUUGGUAGAAAAUGAGUUAGAACUUAGUGACAAUGAAGAAAUGUGAAUGAGAGAGACAUCGUCUUAUGGAGAGGAGAAGGGGACUUGUACACAGCAUCUUUCUCGAGUAAAGAUACUUGGAAUCAUACUCGAACAACAUCAAAUCAAGUAGCUAGGCAUAAGGGAGUAUGGUUUAUACACACAACGCCAAAAUACUCCUUUUAUACUUGGUUAGCGAUGUGAAAUCGUUUAUCAAUAUGUGAUCGUACGCUCAGUUGAAAUGCAGGAACAAUGUCUACAUAUGUCUUGUUAAAAGACUAUUUGUUUUUUAUGUGCAGCUAGUCCUCGGACAUAUGAGUUGCACUCACGCAACGCCUACUCCAAAGCCAAUUCUCAAAGGACUAGCAAGAAGUGAUCGAUUGCAUCUUGACCACUCAGCUAAUUAAUCUGAUCCAAACGCUCCAAACUCGCUAUGCUUUCCAAAUAUUGGUACACGCGAACUAGAGAGAACGCAACACGAGAAGACACGGGGAGAAACUCACUCAAGUGACUAGAAUCAUCAACUUGAUCGAUGAACAAAUUUGAAAUCAAUUUUCAGCAAUUCAAAGAUUAGGAGACAGGAAAUAGGAACCCUGCUUACAAGCUUGGUUAUACGAGUGUUAGGUGUAAAUUUUUAUCUAGAUAAUAAUUCAAAAUCAAAAACUGAAUCAUUUGAUGGACAAAAUGUUAUUUUUUCUUAAAUUAAUUUAACAUUAAAUUCCAAGAAAAAUGAUUGAACGUGAUGGAUUUAUAUUAUUUAUCGUAGUUGGGCUUUUUGGACCUUUUAUUAUUGUUAUAGUUGGGCAUAAUUGGACAUUUUAAUACUAGACCUUGUUGAGCUUAUUCUUGUUGGGUUUAAAUCAUUAGCCCCAAGUAAGUUGAGUUUAAAUCUACUAGUAAACAUUCUGAACCUUUUUUUAAUUGGUAAAAAGGUUCUAAAAGAUGAAAAUAUUAGGCUGGGCAUAAUACCCGAACCCGAAGAACCGAACCAAACCCGACCCAAAAUACUCGAACCCAUUCUACUUCGGUUCCGGCUAAUUACCCGAUCGGGUUCUGUUUUCAAAUAACUGUGGGUAUCGGGUAUUACCCGAACCGAACCCGAUACCCGUGAGUACUUUUUAUUACCCGAACAUAUAUACACAUAUGAGGACAUAUAUGCACUAAUAACUUGAAUUUGUGACUUGUUUAAUGAUUUAAGUUAUGAAAAAAACUCAAAACAAGGUUUACUUCUUGUUUUAUAUUAUUGUCUUAAGGAACAACUUGUUAUAAUUUCAGAUCUUUCGGGUUUUAUGGGUACUUUUAUGUAUGUUUGGGUAUAUUUGGACAAAGUUUGGGUAAGUAGUACUCAAACCCGAAAUAGUUUUGGUUAUUUAUGGGUUCUUUAACCAAUACCCGAAUUACUCGGACCCGAAGUGAACUCGAACCGAACCCGACCCGAAAUUGUACAUAUAACCCAACGGAUCCAAAAUUUCUAAAUCCGAAAAACCCGAACCCGAAAGACCCGACCCGAACCCGACCCGAAUACCCACAUGCCCAGGCCUAGAAAAUAUGAAGCAAUUUGCAAUGUUUCAUUAUUCCUCAAAAGCCUGGACAUUUAACUAACUAGAAAUGGACCCACGCGUUGCGUGGGUUUAUUGCGUGAGUUUAGCAAUAUAUAUUUAAUUUUUUUAUAGUUUUGUAAAUUAUAUUAUUUAAAUAUUUUUAAUUACAAUACUAUUUGAAAACUAUAUGUAAUUCUAUUGAUAAAAAGGCGGUUAUAUAAAUAUAAUAGAAAUAUUAUAAAUGAUAAUUGUAUAGAUUUAUACGUUUAUUUAUAAUAUACUACAUAUAUUAAACAUUUUUUUUUCUUUUGCAUUUGACUUAGUAUCCUAUGACCGUUCAUUAUAUAUAUAUAUAUAUAUAUAUAUUUUAGUACAUGAAUUCUUAUGCAUAACAUUUUCUUCUAUAAUUCUAGAAACUCAAGUGUGCUAUUUUAAAUGUGGUUUAUCUUUUCCAAAUUUAUAUCUAUUGUAUUUAGAAGCAAAAAUAAAAGAUAUAUAUAUGGUCCGCUCCGGAACAUCCCUUUGUGAAGUGUAAUUUUGAUUAGGGCUGGGCCGGGUCCGGAUUUUCGGCUUUUUUAGGGAAUCUGGAUCCGCCUUUUCCAUUAUCCAUUAUCCAUUAUCAUUUGAAUUCUAGAUGGCAUCAAUUUUUUAAGAGUGAUAUAGAUCGUCGUGAUCUUGUAAGUUCCUAGAUGCUUCUUGUGAAAAAUGCUAUCUGAUUUGUUUUCAUUUUAGAUUAGGUUCAAAUUUCUUGAUAGAUCUUUUCUUUAAUUUUUUCAAUGGCUUGAAAGGUCACUUGUGGAUGUGCAGCUGGAGUUGCUGCCGCUUUUAGAGGAGGUCAAAUCAUGGUGGGUUCCUUCUCUCACAUCCUAUGUCCAAAGUGGCUGAAUUUACUAUGUUCUUAGAAACAACAAUGGAGGAACAUUUGUUGUCUAUGCUGUAACAUCCUUAGCAACUAGUGUCACUUGACAGCUUUGCACUGGUUUUUUACACUGUUCUGGAUUUUAACAGUGUUUAAAAGAUGGGUGUCUGGUUCUGUCCUAUUUUUCAGCACGAAACAAGUUUUGAGAUUUGAGUUGUCAAAAUUAUCUUUGUUUUUCAGGUUUUUUUGGAGGCAGAGAAAGGGUACAGAUCGUUGAUAAAGAUUGUCAUUGCGUUGGGUGAAGACCCUCCACGUGUUGGUGUUCAUUGCGUUGGGUAAAGACCAGGUUUAGUCAUUGCGUUACCGUAGUUGAAUUUUUUUUUUAUUCCUAGUCUAAAAAUCAUUCAUCCAGUUUCCCUUCUGUCAGAUUUUUCUGUUAGGCUAACAUAUGGAGAGAGUUCACCUUCUUUCAUAUAUAUGGGCUAUAUGUCUAUAAAAUACAUAUGAUCGCCACGUCAGCAUUUUAUGCUCUUCUGGAGAUGCCACAUCAGCUUUCUUUCCAUCCAAUCAAAACAUUUCAUUAAUAUGAGUCAGCUUUUAUUUUUUACACAUCAGCUUCUAAUUAUUAAUGUCAAAUGGGGAAAACACAAUAGCCCAUGAGGGAUGGCCCAUAUGAAUUUGAAAAUCUAUUUCACAAGUUAAUAAUAUAUUUAUUAUUUAAUUAUAUAUAUUAUUUAAUUUUACAUAUUGAUUUUUACUAAUACUAACUUAUUUUGUUAUUUUAUGUUUUUUUCCAUGAAAUUAUUUAUUGGUUUUAUAUACUACAAAGUUUUUUCGCUAAUUUUUGUAAUCUUAACUCAAAAUAUGAGUGGAUAAUAGUAUAGUGGAUUAGCUAAUGGUUUAAGUAAGUUUUUCUCUUAAUUUUUUAAUCUAUAUAUGACACUGAGGGUGAAGAGUACGUAAGAUCAUCAAAUUUUGGAUGUUCUAUAAUCCUAACAUUACCAUCUAUAAAAUUGGUUUAGGAAAGAUUGUUUACGGAUUGUGUGAGUGAUGCAAUGAUGAGUAUGUUGGUUGAAAAUGUAUUUUAAUACUAAGAUUGUUUACGGCUUUAAAUUUUCCAUUAUCCGGAUCCGGAUCCGGAUCCGCUUUUUCAUUAUCCGGAUCCAGAUCUGCCCCACCCGGAUAUCCGGUUUUUCGGAGCGGAUCCCGGAUCGGAUCCCGGAUAAUUGGUCUCAGGGCUAAUUUUGAUGCCAGUUUCAGCCAAAUCACUAUGCAAGCUCGUGGAGGAUGGAUUAUACGGGAUCAUCACGGUACUGCAAAAGCAUGGGGAUCUUUGGAUUUGAAUGGUGCAGCUUCUCCGUUGAUGGCCGAAGCAAAAGCACUUCUGACAGCGAUGCAUCAAGCAUGGUUAAGAGGAUUCACUCAAGUAAUCUUGGAGGGAAACUGUGAAGUAUUGAUCAACUUAAUCAAUGGAAAUUCCAGUCAUAGUGAAGUAGAGAAUCUGCUGCAAGACAUUGGUUUUUGGAGAGGAAAGUUUAGUGAUAUAAGUUUCAAUUUUGUAAAACGAUCUUGUAAUUGUGUAGCUGAUAGUUUAGCCAAAUUUGUUUGUCCAAUGUCGUUUUUCCUUCCGGAUUCAUUGAUUCCGCCAAUAUGGCUUAAGGAACUGCUGUGUAACGAUUUGUUAACUUAAUAAAAUAAGUUCUUGACGAAAAUAUAUAUUUUUUAUUUUAUAUAUUGGCUUUCUCUUUAGGAAUUUAUCUUUCUGAGACUAAUUUUGUCACUCAGUUCCGAUAUUUUCAUAUUCUAUUAUUUUAAUUUUAAUUUUUUGUUUGUAUCUUAUUAAAUCCAAUGUUGCAAUUGUGUUAUUUCUACUUAUUUUCGAUAUUUUAAAAAUAAUCUUUUUAUAUUUUUAAUAAGUGCAUAAUGUUUGUACUACAAUCAAAUGCAUUUAUACAUUUACUUAUAUAAAAUUUUAUAUUAUAUUUAUGAUAAGCUAAAAAUUAAUAGUAUAUAUAAUUAUAUUUUAGUUUUGUUUUCAAUUAUUAUACACGAUACUAUUUAGCUAUAUUUUAACAUUUUGUUUACUGUCAUUUAUAAACUAAUCAACUAUUAUUUUAAUUAGUAAAUUGUCAUAAGAUUCAUCACUAAUUCACUAUAUAUUUUUUGAAAGCUAAAAACUGUAUGUCUUUCCAACUUUUAUACAAUUUUUAGAAAUACCCAACAUAUUGAUUUUUAAAUAUGUCAUGAUUCAUUACUAUAUUUUUUUUUGAAAGCUAAUAAAUGUAUGAUCUUUCAACUUUCAUACAAUUUCAAAAAUAUCCAUCAUAUUAAUUUUUAAUAUAUCAAUUAUAAAACUGAAAUGUUUAUAAAAUUUUUAAUAUGAUUAAUCUUAAACAUUUUCUCGCUAAAAUUCAAAUUAUAUUUUUAGGUAUAAAUUUAUAUUUCUUUGCUUUUUACAUAUAAUAUUAAUUCAUUUGUAUUUAACUUAAAUAUUUUAUAAUUAUAAGUAACAAUAAAUAAAAAUAAGUAUGUAUUGAAUGAACAUUUUAAAUAAAUUAUAUUUUUUAAUUUUUAAUUAGAUGCAUGCUUAGGUGGAUGAUGAUGUGGAUAGCCUAGAUGGAGAGAGGACUCUCCCAUUAUAUAUAUAGAUUUAAGUACUCGGACCGGGUUCAAAGUCAGGCCCAUCGGAUUUAGGUGUUAUGAUUCUAAACAUUUAAAUCUCAUUCGGAUAUUUUAAAUUUUUGUUUUAAAAGAUGAAAAUAUGAAGCAUUUUGCAACGUUUCAUUAUUCCUCAUAGACCUGGACAUUUGACUAUUUGAGUACUCGGGUCGGAUUCAGGUUGGGCCAAUCCGGAUUCAGAUUUUUAUUUUGAGUCUUGACAUUUAAGCCCCAUUUUAGUAAUUAAAUUUUUGGUUCGAUUAUGAUUUGGAUUCGGGUAUAUUCUCGUCUUUAUAUUGAGCAGUGUUCUAAAAAGCGGUCUAGGCAGUCGCCUAGACCCCGACUAGGCGCUAGGCUCUCAUGGGACGCCUAGAUAACUGCUUUGACCGCCUAAAAUAUCAUAGAUCUUGUUUAAUGUUUUUUUUUAAUCUCAAUUAGAGUUUUAUUUAUAUAUAUAUAUAUAUAUAUAUAUAUAUAUAUAUAUAGUUAUAAAUAUUUAUAUAUUGUUAAUAUAAAUAUAAAUAAAUGUUUUAUCUAGUUUUUGUUUAUAAUUUCAUAAUUUUUAGUUUUAUAUAGAUAUUUUAUAUAACUUUUAUAUAUAAUAUCAUAUUUAUAAUAUUUUAUGUUAUAAACGUCUAAACCGCCUAAAAAAUCGCCUAGACCCCGAUUAGACGUUCUAGGAGCUAGACACUGGAUCACCGCCCGCUUAGCGCCUAGCGCUUUCUUGAACACUGAUAUUGAGAAGCGGUGGGAAUCAGAAAUAUUUACGAGUGUGGUUUGGAUGGAUACUUUGUAUCCUGAUCUAUCCAAAAAGUAUUUGAAUAGACCGAAAGUAUCCAAAAUACCCAAAAAAAUGGUAGUUUAUAUCACCGAAAUAUAUCCACAUCUAUCCAAACUACCUGAAGAUAUCCAAAAUACCUAAAAAAAUAGUAUUUGUAUCACUCAAAUUCUCCGAGAGUAUUUGCAAUAUCCGAAAGUUGUAGUAAUUUUGGGUAUUUGGGUUAAUUAUUAUAAGUAUAAAUAUGACUGAUAUAUUCUUAUAUUUUAUGGCAUGUUCAGAUAUCCAUUCGGUUAUCGAUUUGGUUUGGAUCCAGUACUAGUUCGUCGAGUCUAGAGGUUUAGGUCAUAUUCUGGUAUUUUGUCUCUUCCGGUUCCGGUUCCGGUUUUCUUUUUUGGAUCAUCAGUUCCAGUUACUUUUCUACAAGUGAAGAUUAAUAUAAUUUUACCCAUAUGUGAGGCUUUUUCAGAAGCUAAUAGAAUGGCCAAUGUGAGGCUGAGAGUUAGCCUUCAAUUUUAACAUUGGACGUCAUACAUGAGACUUGAGAGUUAGCCAUCAACUUUAAUUUUGGAAAUCAUACAUAAAAGUGCGAUAGGUGAUUUCACUCUUAGGUAUUUCGAUACAUAUGUUUUGAAAGUUUGAGAACCUUGAUAAAGUGGAAAAAAACUGAAAUAAGCUUAGUGUACAUAAGGGUGAAAGGGUGAAACUCCCAACCCUGAGUUCGAUCCUUUCUGGAAACAAAAACACAUUUGUUUGGGAAGUCUGUCAGUUGGGCCUUGGCCCAAUUGGUUUACCUAGUAGUCAGAAAUGCAGGCAGCCUGACUACCUCCUGUCAUUAGUCGGAAGGCACUCUAAACUCGGAUCAGGCAGUGUCGUAGCCCAAUUCUGGAUCUCAUGGAUCUCAUAAAUCUCAUGGCCCGUUCGACCCGAGUCCGCUCGAAGAUCAUGGUGUCCGUUGAAUCGUUGAACCGUUGAACCGUUGAACCGCGGGAAUAGUCCACUCUGUAGCACUUCGAUACGUUCCUACCGGAUCUGCCGAUAGGGUUUAUAAAAAAAAAAAAAAAGGGACAAUUCAUAAAGAAAUAAGCUUAAAAGCAAUACAAUAUCAGUGGAGCGCAUGCAUAAAAAUCACAAUUUUUCUUCACCUACUAAUUUGUCUUAAGUUGACAAAAGUUGCUUUUGUCAAAAUAAAAUAAAAAGCUUAGCGAAAGUUAAUUGCCAAAACAACCAUGUCCGUUACUUCGUGUGUAAAGAUUUGAUUCAAUCAAUAAAAGGUUAAUGGACUUUUUAAACCUAACUUCAUCGACGUCAUAAUUGUAAAAAUUUACAAACGUUGUUAUAUCCUAUAUAGUUCUUCAAAGACGAAUCAAACCACAUUAGUUUAAAUUGUGUGAAACCUUUUGAAAUCUUAAAUAUAUUAUUUAUAUGUAAAAGGUUUGAACAAUAGUUAAACUAUAUAAAGACUCAUAUAUAAUUCCAGACAUCAAUAAUUAAUCAAUGGUUAAAAUAUUUUCAAGAUUUUGUACUAGUUGAAGACUAAUUAGUUUUCAAAAUUCUAAUUUAGAAUUGUGUAAUUAUUCUAAAUUUUAGUGAUAUGUUUUUACAAGAAAAAUAUUACAAAACAUUAUUUUAUGAUAAAAACAAUUUAAUUUAACCAAGAACGAUAUGAAAUAUAUUGAUUAAGAAGGUGAAGUUGGUAAAUUACAAAAAUGUUUUUGCAUACAAAACCGGUUGUAAAAUAGUAAAUAAGUGGAGAUUUUUUUGCUAGUAAUUUUAAACUAAGAGCUUGAUAUCAUGUAAAAUAGCAGAAUGUCAUCGGUUAACGUACGAUCUUAUUUGAUUUAAAGAGCACAUACUUUAUGUUAUUUGUUUAAAGCACUUGCUGUAAAUGACUUAAAUUGUUUAUAAUUUUUUCUAUCCAUCAUCUUUUGCAAAUUAAUGUCAACAUCUAGUGUAUAUAUUCUAACGAUAGGUAAAAAGAUGAAGAGUAGAAACCUGAACGAUAGGUAAAAUCUUCUAUUCUUUUUUUCUUUUUUUUCUGUCAACUGGUCAGCCAAUUAAAAUCUAUUGAAACACAAUCUCAUAUUCAGGCCUUUAAAUUAGCAACUAUUAAUUGAAUUACGACUAUUAAGUAUGAUGGGUAAUACAUUUUCCCCACUGUUUCUAGUGAACUAGAAUUUUUUUUUUGAAACUAUAAACAUAUGCAAAAAAUUGGUAUUUUAGGUUGAUAUAUAUAAUAUUUUUGGACCAAUAUAUAUUGAGUUGGAAUUUUUUUUUGCGUUGAAAUAUAUAUAUUGUUUUAAUUGGUAUUUUAGCUUUGAAAUAUAUUAUGAAUGAGAAUAAAUAGUUUUCUCACAUAUUCAAAGUUAGUAUCACCUUUGAGUUGGAAUCAUGCGCUUAUACAAAAGUGAUUCAUGGUGACUUCAACGUAAAAUACCAAUUUUGCAUAGAUUGGGUAAUGCCUAUAUAUCCACCAUAUGAAUAUUUAAUAUUGUAGAUGUUGCUCGAAUGCUAUUAUGGACGAGCGCGGUUCCCUCAUUUAUUAUUUGAAAUAUAGAUAUUGCUCCAUUGAAGAAUAUUGGGUAUUGACAAAAUAUAUACAUUGGAUAAUGUAUUAAUUUUUAACGGAAACGAAGGUGACACGUACAUGUACUCAAUCAACAAGAUGAGUUAUUCAUAAUGUAAUGAAAUGGGACAUAUCAAAACUUGAGUGGUAGAGUUGCAAACAGUUUGAAAGCAACCCUCCUUCUAACUAAAUCUGAUAUAGCUCCACUUUAUCGGUCGUCCUUAUAGAACAUGUGGUUGCAAACUUAGUACAUAUAGAGUUUUCGAUAAUUUUAUUCAUUCACCACAAAUAUAAUUAUACAAGUUUCAUAUGUCAUAGUGAUAAUCUUCUAAACUUUACCUUAAAGUAUAAUUGUUCACAUAUUAGCUUCCCGCAUAACCAACAUGAAGAAUAGGUUAGACAGUACUAAAUUUCCGUAUAUAUGCGUCAGUAGAUUGGUGUAAUGAUACUUCUCGUACUCUCUUCUUUGGAGAUAUGCUUGUUUCAUUUUCUCAUCAUUUAUUUAUGCGCAAAAUACCCUGAACUACCAUUAGCUUAUACUUGAUUUUAUUUUUGUUAUAAUUGAUUGUUGCCGGAGAUCACCUCUUAAAUAGUGAGGUAAGAAACUACCUAGUAGCCGAAGUUUAUCCUCAAUAGUAACUAACUAUUAACUCCUAAAUAAUAUAUAAUCCCGAUAGUAUAAUCAUCGGCUAAUAUUUUAGUGUUAUAUAGUCUCAAUGAUUUUAUAUAGUAACAGGUGGUGCUUUUAAAUUUGUAUUUUAAAACUAAAACUCCCCAUCGCAUCAACAAUUCCACUUCAACUUUGUGCCAGAUGUCUCGGCAACAAAUAGGAAUUUACAUGAAUGUCAUUUUCAUUGUAUUUUUGUAUGGGUUUAAUUUCUUUACAUAUUAUUGUCAAUUCAUUUAAUUUCUAAAUGCCGCUGACCCCAAUCACAAACUUGAAUCAAUGUCUGCUGUUGAGACAUGACAAUACUGAACUGCCAUGUGUCCUCCAAAUUUGAUAAAUCCCUCCUCAAUUAUUGACACAUUACUUAAUAUUUACUUAUUUAGUGAAAAAUGAAAAUGUAUGGUUUGCAUUUAAUGAUUUGUUAAACAUUUUUUUUACUGUUCCUUUUACUCUGUUCGGAAAGAAAUUUUUUAGUUUUCUUUACACGUCAAGCUUCACAAAUUCCUCCGCACCACACAUGAAAACCUGGGGUUACGGAUGUGGAAAAUGUUAAAAGUAACCUAAUAUAAAACAUGUGAUAUAUUACGGAUUUUACCAAUUUUAGCCGUGAUAUAUGUGUCAGUUUUAGAGUCUUUUUGUUGUAUGGUUUGCAUUUAAUGAUUUGUUAAACAUUUUUUUUACUGUUCCUUUUACUCUGUUCGGAAAGAAAUUUUUUAGUUUUCUUUACACGUCAAGCUUCACAAAUUCCUCCGCGCCACACAUGAAAACCUGGGGUUACGGAUGUGGAAAAUGUUAAAAGUAACCUAAUAUAAAACAUGUGAUAUAUUACGGAUUUUACCAAUUUUAGCCGUGAUAUAUGUGUCAGUUUUAGAGUCUUUUUGUUGUUUCUAGAGUUUUUUGAGUAUUUUCAGGUUUUUACACGUUCGGAACAAAUCUGGAGAUAAGGAACCAUUCUGGAGCUAAACCGGAGAUUUAGAGCUGAAAAAAAGAUUUCGGUGUCAGACCAAGGCAUGAGUGUCGACCGACGCCCUUUGGUGUCGCUCGACACCACACGAGACCCAACAAAAAGUCUCGACGGUUUGGAGUUUUUAAAGCCCGAAGAAUCAACCCAGACAACUUCCCUAUUUGCAACUUUAGUCCCUGCACAUUUUUGGAGACUUUAUAAAUAGUUUUUAGGGUUUUUCUAUUUCAUUAUCUUAGAUCUUGCUUUUUGCUUUUGGCUUUGUAAUUCUCUGAGCUUGAACCCUUUGGAAGAAAAUUGGAAAGAGCAACUUUUCAGAUAUUUCAAAACCCUGUAGAGAGAAUAUUUAUUCUAAACUCUUUUCUUCUUUUGAUUUCUUAUUUUACAAUUUAUUUAAACAUAUUUUCUGUUUCAUUAAUCAUGUCUGAGUAAUCACCCUGUUAGGUUUAGAGAUUCUCAUUAGGGAUUUAGAUGAAUUAGUAAAUCGAUUUUCUGUUAGGAUUAAUCUAUAGAGUUCUUCACCUUAGGUUGUUCUUAAUGCUAGUUCAAGAGUAGCUAACUAGAACUUGAUCAUAGGAUAAUAGGUUUUGAUCCGAGAGAGCGCCUGUUACUGGAACUAUCUUAGGUGGGUAAAGAUUUCUAGAUACAUUCGAGAGGAGGUCUAGGAAUAUUUGUGAACAUAUAUCAAACCUGUUUUUAAUGCUAGUUUAGAUCUAGGAGUUCGCAUUCGAGAGGGUGGAAUUACCUGAUAUUAGACUAGUUAGUCAAUGUAUCUGAGAGGAGGUUGGCUAUACAUUUGUGUUUUGAGUUCUAGAACGGUUCGAUAAUAAUCCUAAUUAAUUUGCUAGAUUUACUAUUAGUUUAUUUUCUGAGAAUAUCCCUAAAUCUGACGCUUUAAUCCAUUUGAAUUUUCACCUGAUUUAAUUGCUUGUUUUUAUUUGAAUUUGCUUAAUAUUCUAUUUAGCCUAAUUUCGAAAUUGUUAGCUUACUGUGUGAACAAAAGAACUUUGUGGAAUUCGACCCUAAAGUGCUGCAAUUGUUCUCUUAUUUGAGAGAGUAGUCUAUAGGUCUAAUUUAACUCAUAUAUAUCAAAUUUGGCGCCGCUGCCGAAGUUCUUGGGAAUCACCAUUAAGUUUAGUUUAAAAAUUUUGUCUAAAUUUUACUUUUCUUUUGAUAGUUUCGCGUUUCUUUCUUUCCUUUUUUCUUGUGUUUCAGGUGCAUGCCUAACCGCAUAACUUGGAGCAGCAAAGAAAAAGACCUCGUCAAUUUGACUACACUUGAAUUGGCAUAGUUAGAACGCACCAACCGCAAAGCUCAAAAAUCAUCAACAAUGGUUCGUGGAGAAAUCAGAGCUAAUGAACUAGGGGUUUUGAGAGAUGACGAUGGACAAGCCUACAAUGAGGCUGGACAACGAUUGGACGAUCAUGGGAUUGUCAUGCCCGAGGAUCUGAUUGUGGAUGAUCCAAACAUCCGGAAUCCUGAUCCACCAAACGCUGUGGCUGAUCACGUCCUCGGUGUGGAACGACACCACCAGGGUGUAGCUCGACACCCCCUCCCAGCAGACGUGCAGAUCAAAGCUGGCCAGCAGGGCCGCCAACAGCCGCCUGUCACGGCAGAACAUCAGUUAACUCUUAGAGACUACAACAUGCCAGACCUGUUCUAUGCUAUUCGAUCAGCGAUCGUACCCCCCGCUUUUCAGAGAAACGACUUCGAGCUAAAACCCGCAUACUUUACUCUUGUAGGACAACAUCCUUUCCACAGCUUCUCUAAUGAACAGCCAAUGGACCACAUCGAGCGCUUUGAGGAUUUGGUAUCUAGCAUUAAGGCUAAUGGAGUUUCAGAUGACUAUCUUCUCUGCAAGCUCUUCCGAUACUCACUUGCUGGGGAAGCAGCUUCUUGGUUAAAGCAGUUGAAACCAGAAUCUUUGACUAGCUGGAGGAAGAUCAAGGUAGCCAUUUUGAACAACUUCUAUGAUGAUGGUAAGUCUGAGGAGCUGCGCAACAAGUUGUCUACAUUCACUUAAAGACCAGCAGAAGCAUUUAAAGUUGCUUGGGUCAGAUUCAAGAAGUACCAACAAGAUUGCCUGCAUCACGGUUUCAGUGAAGUUCAGCUCAUAGGUACAUUCUUCAAGGGAGUUGAUUAGAGAUAUCAGAUUGCUUUGGAUGCUGCAAGAAAUGGCAACUUGAACACCAGGUACCCCGACGAUGUUGUAGCUUUAAUUGAGAAUCUCGCAUGUAGCAAUAGCACGAAGAAUGCAGACUUCGAGAGGAAGAAGAUUGCAGGCGCGAUUAUAGGUACUCAGUAUGCAGAGGUUAAUGCCAAGUUGGAUUAAGGCCAUAGCCACCUCACGGGAAAGAAAGCUGUCUACUUUGGUGCCAAAGUUGAAACUACUGAGCCAGAAGAAGAGUAUGAAGAAGGAGUAUUCUACAUUGAUGGCCAAGGAUACAGGAAAUUCGGGCCUCCAUAGGGUAACUUCAGUGGUCAGAGAUUCACAGCGAAUCAGAACAACUCCGGUUUCAACAACAGGCCAGCGUUUCAGAAGACAUAUCCGCAAACUAGUAGCUUCCAAAGAACAUACGGGAAUACGACCUACCAGAACCCACCUGCACCCACUCCCGAGACUAAGAUGGAGACGAUGCUUGAGCAGAUUCUAGAGGGGUAGACAAAGCUUACGGUUGAGUUCAACGGGAAGUUUGAUGCCAUAUACUUUUAUUUGAAUGGCAAGAUUGACACUUUGAACACUCACAUGAAGAAGCUCGAUGUUCAAGUUGCUCAAACUACCGCCGAUGUUAAGAGACAAGAUGGUGUUCUUUCUGGUAUGCCUGAUGCUAACCCCAAAAGAGCCUGCAAUGCGAUACUGGUCCGAGAUGGAGAUGAUGUUUGGGACGAAUUGGACACUGACGAUGAGCAUGAGCUCGCUGCUGUAGAGACAGUGUCGACCGACACCCCCUGGUGUCGAUCGACACCCACUCGAUACCCAUGGAGAACAAUGUUCGACGAAUCGUUGUCGACCGAUACAGCUUUGCGAAGCUCGAUAGCAACCCUCAUUGUCGACCGACGCCACCAUGGUGUCGAUAGACACUAUCUCGACAACGAAGCAGUUUCGAUGUGUGACGGACAGAGAUCGACCAGGCACGACACAGAGGAGUCGCACCAUAUCAGAGUGUCGACCGACACUCACCUAGUGUUGAUCGACACUGGGUUCGCACAGCUCCUUAUGCCAUCAUCUUUCCACCUGCAAAGCCUGUCUACACGCCUCCAGUCCCUUUUCCUAAGAAGCUUCGCUCUAAGCAAGAGAUUCAGGAUGCACGCUGCAAGGCUAUCAUGGAGAAGAUCUUGACUACUAUUCCUAAAGUCAAUCCCGAGAGAUCUUCGCCUCCACUUGAGAGGUAUGUCAAGAGAUUGGUCAACAAUGGAAUCUGUGCUGAAGAGGCUGCGUUGCUCACAAAAGAUAUCAACUUGAUUGUGCUGCAAGAAGCCAAGAAAGAGAGGAAGAAGAAAGUGGUUGUGUCUGAACACAUUAGCUCGAUCAUUUAGAGUAGGAUGCCUGAAAAGCUACCUGAUCCAGGAAGCUUUUUUCUUGAUUGCUCCAUCUCUACAGGCCGGUUCAGUAAAUCUUUGUGUGAUCUUGGAUCCAUCAUCAAUCUGAUGCCACAUUGAGUUGUUGUGCGCCUUGGUAUGACUGCUUACAGGCCAACAUGGAUUACUUUGCUUCUCACGGAUUGUUCUAAGCGAAUUCUCGAAGGAAUCUUGGAAGAUGUUCCUGUACAGAUUGGUGAAUGUCUCAUACCUGCUGAUUUCGUAGUACUGGACUACGAUGAGGAACCCAAGGAUCCUCUUAUCUUGGGUAGAGCAUUCUUAGCCAUAGCUGGUGCAAAGAUUGAUGUGAAGAAGGGAGAGAUUUCGUUGAAUGUAUGUGAUGUGAAGAUGAAUUUCGACAUGAAAGGCUCAAGUACACCUCCAAUACUUAGUGGUAAGUCAUUCUCUAUUGAAUCUACACGGGAAUCUGCGGAGGAAUUGGAUUCUACUGCACCUACAGAAGCCGCUACUGCAACUCAGUAUCGUUCAGACGGACUAGUGUCGACCGACACCAACGACGAGCAGAGAAGCGGAUUUUGGCGAAAACUGUUGUUGGGACUGCAGACAAUGCCAAUUGUUCAGGAGCUGUUCCCGAUACAUACACGCCUUGAUCAGCAAAGGUAUUGCACAUCUCCUCCUCAUCCUUACCUUCUUCACUUAAUACUUCCAUAUCUUCGAAGAAGGCUUCACAGGUAAACGAGCCACGAGAUUCUCGAGUGAUUGUUUCUUCUGUUGUUGAUGCAGGAAACGGAACAACGGACGCUGCAGCUUCUACCAGUUUCCUUGGACAUGAGCACGCCUCCAACGCUUAUGCUCCACCAUGGAUGGCUAGGCGUCGGUCUUCUGAGAAGUCUUCAAACACUUUUUCCGCUCCACCUUGCUCCUGAAACCCGACAUAGUCAAGCUAAUGACUGAAAAUAAGCGCUUAGUGGGAGGCAAUCCACUGGUAUGUUUUUUUGUUUUUCUUUUAUUUUAUUGAUGUUUUUCUUUUUAUUUUAUUUUCGCUAACUCCGGAUUUGAAUGCCACUGGAACAGUGUCGUUUAAGUCUGGGAGCGGCAGUUACUAAUUAUGUUUUUUUUUUUGAGUCUUAUUUUUAUUUUUCUUUUUCUUUUGAGUCGUUUUAUUGAGUCAAAAUUUUGUUGGAAAUUUUGAUCUUUUUCUCUAGAUUAUUGCCUGGUUAGUUUAAUGCUGUAGAUUAAAAUCAAUCCGACUAAUGGAAAAUCCAAAGAGUUAAUCAAUAGACCAGAGGACAUCCACGUUUUCAACACAAUCCGCUAAAGCCUGAGCAAAGUUCAUGCUCUUCACCUCGUCAAUACGGUUAGUAUUUUCAGAACUUGACUCCUCGUUCAUACCUGAUAAAUGAGACCAAUGUGGAAAAAGAAUGGUAUUUCUCUCCAUUAUAUUAAAAAAAAAAACGAAAAAAAAAGAUUGAGAUGAUUUUCUUUUGGAGUAAAGAGAUAAGAAAAUUUCCCGUUAUCUCAUUAUUUUACUUCCAAAGGAAUGAUCACACAAAAGUUGGAUGCGAGGUUAGGAACAUUUCCGAUGAUACCAUUAUUCGUCUACACCUUUGUCAAAAAAAAAGAGAAUUAGUUUGGGGGAGGGAAAGAAUACCAAGGAAAUAUUGAAAUGGUUGAUUUAUCAUAGUAUAGUACGGGAAUGAGUCCAGAAGGUUCUUGAGUACUGAUUUUAUUGAUGAGAUUUAUGCGAUGAGGGCUAUAGGAUAUAGUUGUGGAAUUUGGUUUGGAAUUUGGAAUGUUGAGAAUGCUUGCAGAGAAUUACAUGGUGGUUAGGAUUUGAUGCGAUCUGCUAGGCAUUUGGAUUUGGUUUGAAUAAUAACGGUAAUAGGCUAGAGAAAUUGGGAGUUUCUGUGUUUUCAAACUUCUUACACAGGUUCGGUUUUUGUGUUUUGCUUGAGGGCAAGCAAGAGCUAAUUCUGGAGGAGUUGAUAUAUCACGGAUUUUACCGAUUUUAGCCGUGAUGUAUGUGUCAGUUGUUGAGUCUUUUUGUUGUUUCUAGAGUCUUUUUGAGUAUUUUCAGGUUUUUACAAGUUCGGGACAAAUCUGGAGAUAAGGAACUAUUCUGGAACUAAACCAGAGAUUUAGAGCUGAAGAAACGAUUUCGGUGUCAGACCAAGGCAUGAGUGUCGACCGACACCUUUUGGUGUCGCUCGACACCACACGAGGCCCAGCAAAAAGUCUCGACGGUUUGGAGUUUUUAAAGCCCGAAGAAUCAACCUAGAAGACUUCCCUAUUUGCAACUUUAGUCCCUGCACGUUUUUGGAGACUUUAUAAAUAGUUUUUAGGGUUUUUCUAAUUCAUUAUCUUAAAUCUUGCUUUUUGCUUUUGGCUUUGUAAUUCUCUGAGCUUAAACCCUUUGGAAGAGAAUUGAAGAGAGCAACUUUUCAGAUAUUUCAAAACCCUGUAGAGAGAAGAUUUAUUCUAAACUCUUUUCUUCUUUUGAUAUCUUAUUUUGCAAUUUAUUUAAACAUGUUUUCUGUUUCAUUAAUCAUGUCUGAGUAAUCACCCUGUUAGGUUUAGGGAUUGUCAUUAGGGAUUUAGAUGAAUCAGUAAAUCGAUUUUCUGUUAGGAUUAAUCUAUAGAGUUUUUCACCUUAGGUUGUUCUUAAUGCUAGUUCAAGAGUAGCUAACUAGAACUUGAUCAUACGAUAAUUGGUUUUGAUCCGAGAGGGUGCCUGUUACUGGAACUAUCUUAGGUGGGCAAAGAUUUCUAGAUACAUUCGAGAGGAGGUCUAGGAAUAUUUGUGAACAUAUCAAACCUGUUUUUAAUGCUAGUCUAGAUCUAGGAGUUCGCAUUCGAAAGGGUGGAAUUACCUGAUAUUAGACUAGUUAGUCAAUGUAUCCGAUAGGAGGUUGGCUAUACAUUAGUGUUUUGAGUUCUAGAACGGUUCGAUAAUAAUCCUAAUUAAUUUGCUAGAUUUACUAUUAUAUUAUUUCUUGAAAAUUUUCCUAAACCUGACGCGUUAAUUCAUUUGAAUUUUCACAUGAUUUAAUUGCUUGUUUUUAUUUGAAUUUGCUUAAUAUUCUAUUUAGCCUAAUUUUGAAACUGUUAACUUAUUGUGUGAACAAAAAAAUUUUAUAGAAUUCGACCCUAAAGUACUGUAAUUGAUCUCUUAUUUAAAAGAGUAGUCUAUAAAUCUAAUUUGACUCGUAUCAACAUGCAUGCUUUUCAAAGAAAUUCUUGUUUGUUAGUAUGCAAGUUAGACGGACGCAAAUACCAAACUUUGACAAACAAAUAUAGAAAUAUAUAUAUAUAUUUUUUUCUUCUUCUUUUUUUUGAUAAAAAGGGAGAAAGAAAUAGUUAUUGCGUAAAUAUAUGUUGUUGUUUUCAACUUUUCAAAUUAGUAAUGUUUUAUUUGUUACAAGCUCGAAAAAGAAAAAAAAACGAAAUUUAUUAGUUAGGUUAACAUACAUUUUUUUAUAGAUUGGAUAUUGAACAUACGGUUCAAACUUUAUAUAUUAAAAUUAAUAAACAAAGAGUUGUGUAUCUUUCUAAAACAAACAAAAUUUUAUGUAUUUUUCUUAAAAUUGAAAAACACUUGAUGUAUUUUUAAGGAAUUUUUUUUUUUUUUAAUUGUAUAGAAAUAAACAAACGACGAUGGGAAAAAUGUCGAAAAAUGCGCGAACUUUCAAAUUUGGGACGAAAAAAACAUGAACUUUCGAAAUGUCAUUUAAAUCAUAAAGUUUAGGUUGACUUUUUGACAAAAUAGUGAAGUUUAGUUUGACUUAGUCAUUUCGGGCAUGCCGUUAAAUUUCCGUUAACCAGAAGAUGAAGGUGUUAAAUUUCAGUUAGAACUCUCUGUUGAGUCUAAACGACGUCGUUUUGAAACUCUGAAACAACGUCGCUUCAUUAGAAAAUAAGAUGGAAACAAUGCAUUCAUGGAGAAUCGAACAGCUGACCUACUAGACUAUCGAGAGAUGGUCAACCAUUGCGCUACAAUAACAUUAUGAUAUUAUACCAAACAGAACAUAUAUAUAUUAACAAAUAAUUAUGUACAAUUAACUAAAACUAUAUACAAUUAGUUAACAAUAACAAAACUAGAAAAAAUUAUUACCAAACAGAUACAAAUAUUAAAUAUACUUAAAUAAAUAAAUAUUUUGAAAUUUCAAAUACUAAUUUUAUAUAUAAAGAUUUCUUCUUUAUUUGGAAAAUUAUUUUUUCCUAAAUUAUAAAAAACAAAACUGAAACUUAUAGAGUAUAGAAAAUUAAAUAUAUGACAUAAAACUUAUUCAAUCUUUCUAACAUAAAUAUAGGAUUAAAGAUUGUAUAAAUUAUAGGAUUAAAGAUUGUAUAUUAUGUGAGAAGGAUUGUAUAAAUUUUACAUUUAUGUGAGAAGGAUUGUAUAAAUUUUAUGUCAUAUAUUUAAUUUAAUAUAUUCUAUAAGUUUCAGUUUUGUUUUUUAUAAUUUAGGAAACAAUUUUUUUUAAAUAUAGAAGCAAAUUUUAUAUAUAAAAUUAAAUAUUUAAAAUUUCAAAAUAUAUAUUUAUGGUAAGUAUAUUUAAUAUUUAAAAUUGUACAUAGUUAUUUGUUAGUAUAUAUAUGUUCGGUUUGGUACAAUACCAAAAAAUUAUUGUAGCACAACGGUUGAGCGCCUCUCAUUAGUCCAGUAGGUCAGCUGUACGAUUCUCGGUGGAUGUUGUUUUUCCAUCUUAUUUUCUAAUAAAACGACGUCGUUUCAGAUUUUCAAAACGACGUCGUUUUGAUUCAACAAAGAGUUUUAACAAAAAUUUAACACCGUGAUCGUCUGGUUAACGGAAAUUUAACGGUAUGUCCGAAAUGGCCAAGUCAAACUAAACUUCACUAUUUUGUCAAAAAGUCAAUUUAAACUUUAUGAUUUAAAUGACAUUUUGAAAGUUCAUGUUUUUUUCGUCCCAAAUUUGAAAAUUCGCAUGGGUUAUAAUGAUUAAAUGCCAAAGGCUUGCAUGGGUUAUAAUGAUUAUUGGGAAAAUUGGAUAUAAAAAAUAAAUAAUUAAAUUAUUAUUCAUCUAUGCAUUCUAUAUUUAUAAUUGAUCAUAUAUGUUUUAAUAUUGGUUAUGCUUUAAUAUAAUUAAAAUCACAUUUUGUCCCUAGUUAUUUUAAAUCACAUUUGACAUCGGUGCAAGUUUCUUGUACUAUCCACGAGACCCCAAAAGCAAUUAAUGACCUUUGUAUUGUUCUUUCAGAGGCAAUAAUGUAAAUUAUAAAAAAAAAAUCCUAUUUUAUUUUAUUUUUACUAAACAAAAGAAAAACACUCUAACAAAAUCCUAUUUUAUUUUAUUUUUACUAAACAAAAGAAAAACACUCUAACAAAUAAACAAAUAAUCUGCCAUUGUCACAUGAGUCACAUCCAUUUGACUACACGAAAUGCACUCACUGUAGAUAAAUUUAAAUAAGGUGAAUAUCCCAUGCACCACUGUAUAUGGUACAAAAAGAGAGCCUUUCUUCCUCAUUUUACCACUCUUCUAAAACAUAUUUCUCGUCUUCUCUCAAGUUCUUCAAGAGAAAACAAAAAGAACUGCAAAGAGAAUUGGUGUGACUGAAAAUGGGAGUGGAAGGAACUAUGGAGUAUAUAUCGGACUUUUUGAAGAAGAGGAAGAGGAAGAAGAAGAAGCAACUGCAAACAGUAGCUCUCCGAGUUGCUCGUAUCGACUGCGAAGGUUGUGAACGUAAGAUCAAACAUAUCCUCUCCGGUGUCAAAGGUAUGUAUUUAGAUAUAUGUACGUAUGGUUUAACAUGAAAGCCGAAGGCGUAUCCACUUUAUGUAUAAUUAUAAAAAAAAAAAAAAAAUUAUAUAAGAAAUCAGUUUUAGGCAACCACCAUGAUCCAUUAAUGGUUAGAGAUUUGCCAUGUUGGUCGAAGCCACGGAUCGAAUUCAUUCCACUACUUUCCAUCUUAAUUGACAACAAAAUUUGGUAUUUUGUAUAUGCCCGGUCUAAAGCAUAGGCAAAGAAAAACAUUAAUAUUUCGGAUCCGACAUUUUUUAAAUGCCAACUUUUAGAAAAGUAAAGGUAAGAAUAACUCAAGCUAAAGGGUAUCACUUUUAAAUUUCGAGUGGACAUCUGGAAACAUUAGACCGGCCCCGGAUUGGUCUCAAUUACUUUGUGUUUGGCUCUUUGAUGUCAAAAACUUUGGUUUUCUUGAAUCUCAUCAUGAAAUAUGUGUUUUAGGUAUUUUUGAAUAUAUAUCACAUUUUGGACCAAUUUUAGUCAGACACUACGAUAGAACUCUGAUUAUCCGGUGCUAUUUACAAUUUAUAGACUCGUUGCACUUUAGAAAAUGUGACUCCUAAGAAAAAAAAAUAUGAAAAAUGGAUUUAAUUUUUUUUUGACUCAUUUGGACAGGGGUGAAGUCAGUGGACGUAGACGUGAAGCUGCAAAAGGUAACGGUAACGGGAUAUAUAGAGCCGAAGAAGGUUUUGGAGGCGGCCAAGUCAACGAAGAAGAAAGUGGAGUUAUGGCCUUACGUUCCUUACACAAUGGUGGCGAAUCCGUACAUAUCUCAGGCGUAUGACAAGAAGGCACCACCAAACAUGGUUCGGAAAGUCCCCGACACAACCUCUGUCAACGAGACCACCGUCGAUGACUCUUACACCAUUAUGUUUAGCGAUGAGAAUCCUAAUUCUUGCAUUAUCAUGUAGAAGAGUGUACAUUUUGUUAUGGAUUUUGGUAAUAGUAUACGUAAUUAAGAAUCGUUGUAAAAAAAAAAAAAAAAAAAAAAAGAAUCGUUUUGUCUGUAACGUGAGAAAAUCGAAAUGUCUUUUGAUACUUAAUGGAAAUUUGAUAUGCCUCAAUAUUAGUUGUUUUAACAUAUAUAAGUUUAAUACCAAAACAGACCAAUAUAAUACAUAUAUUGGUUUAUGUCAAUGUGUCACUAUCCGAAUUGAAAACUCCAUAACACACGUUGUUGACAAAAAAAAAUUAUCAAAAAUAAUUAUAUCUUUUAUCAAUUAUCUUAUAUUAGUUUCCGAUUCUACAACUUCAAUCAAUUAUCUUAUAUUAGUUUCCGAUUCUACAACUUCAAGUAUUCAUACAAUAUCUAAAAACAUGUUAAAUAGAUGGGAUUGGCUUGAGGAUCAUAGAUCAUAUAGAUUUCUAGUUAGUAAAUUGAUGUAGUAUUUCACCAUCUCCAAACUUAACAUACCUUUCAUAGUUGACAAGUUAUUAUUAGUAAUGGGCCUAACUCAACACCCAAAAGCUAGCUCAAGGGAGGAGGUUUGCCUCAUACUAUAUAUAUUGCCCAAGGAUUUUAUUUCUUUCCAAUGUGGGACUCUAACACACCCUCCUCACGCUCAGGACUGGACAUCUGAAGCGUGAAGUUUGUGGGACUGGAUAUUCACGGAUGGUAGCCCACUUUCGAGAAAGUUGAACCUGGCUUUGAUACCAUAUUAGUAAUGGGUCUAACUCAACACCCAAAAGCUAGCUCAAGAGAGGAGGUUUGCCUCAUACUAUAUAUAUAUUGUCCAAGGAUUUUAAUUUAUUUAUUUCCGAUGUGGGACUCUAACAGUUAUGUCAGUACUUAUUUAAUUUGAAUCAGAAUCAGAAUCAGAAGAUAAAUCGAAACUACUUGAAUGCAUUUUUGCACAUAUUAUACCUUCAAUUUUGAAAAGACACUGUAGAAUCGAAAAAAAUGAGGCAGAAGAAGAAGGAGCAUUGUCUCCGUUGAAGUCUGAGCUUGUUUGAUGACAAGGUGGGCCUGUGGUUGGGCCUGGGGAUGGGUUGAGUUGCAAUUGCAGUACUUUUUUCUUUUUUUUUAACGUAUAACAUGUUUGAUUUGUCUUCCAGUUGCAGUUUUAGUAAGGUGACUUUUCUCAAAUAACACAUUUUCAAAGAUUACUGUAUGUAACAAACAUGUUAAAUUAAAUUAAGCUACAUAAAAGCACUUUUUUUGCAGAAAAUUGUGGACAGAAAAAUCGCGAUAGCAGAAUCAAGUUUUAAGCCUAGCAUACAAACACAUGUUUUUAAUAAAAAGUUAUGGAACUCUGUGUUUUAAAAAAAAACAAAAUUAUAUAUAUUAGAUCGUGUUUUAGGGGAAAAACUGUGGAGUUGUAUUGUAUAUAAUUUUGGUCAAAUUAAAUGCAAAGCUGCGUUUUUUUUUGUCAACAAAUGCAAAACUGCGUUUUGGCAGAAAACUGUGUUUUGGCAAAAUAAUUGCAGUAUCAAAAUUUCAAUGGAAAUAGCGAGAAAAUAGCAUAAUUGUGUUUUGGAAAAAAAUAUUGUGGAUCUGUUUUAAUUCUUUUUUUUUUGGUUCGAAACGAUCACACAAAUUAUGAAGACGCAUACAUGUUUCAAAGGAUGAAGAACAUGUUGUUUUCUUAGAUGAUUUCUUGGCUGACAUGAAAUGUAUGAUCAAGAUUCAAUUCGGAGUUAGAUUUUCACUGAAUANNNNNNNNNNNNNNNNNNNNNNNNNNNNNNNNNNNNNNNNNNNNNNNNNNNNNNNNNNNNNNNNNNNNNNNNNNNNNNNNNNNNNNNNNNNNNNNNNNNNNNNNNNNNNNNNNNNNNNNNNNNNNNNNNNNNNNNNNNNNNNNNNNNNNNNNNNNNNNNNNNNNNNNNNNNNNNNNUUUAUUUUAGCGAGAUAUAGAUUUCGAAUUUUGUUUGCGGAGAGAUGUAUAGCCCAUCUGGUGUUAUACAAAUCUCUUUGUGUAAAAUUAGAUCAUUAGUCCAACCUUUUACCUAAAACAUUUAAAAUUUUCUUCGAUUUAAAGACAUUUUUGAGAGCAAACAUGCAAAGCUCCAUAAACUAAUAUUACUUGAGAUGAUCGCGUAGAGAUUGCGAACCAUAUAUGAUACAUGAUAGAUGCUUUUAAAUCCACGGGAACAGCUGAUAUCUAAACCUUUAGACCGCUCACUAAGAGGCAGCCCAAGAUAUCUUACCGACAAGCUUGCUUUCCUUAGGUUGAACUUUGUAUAUUUUCAUAAAAUACAUAUUUCGAAAAACAUAGUUUUUGUAUCAUUUACUUUUAUUAAAUUCCAAUUCCUAUAUCUUGGUGGGGAAUUAAAAAAAAAUAAAGGCGUCAUGCCAACACGUUGCAGCUUAGGAGACGAAACCAUAUAUGAACAUAACCCUUUACGAUGAAAAAAUAAAUACUAUAUUUAGUUCGUUAGAACAACAAUCAUGGUUUAUAUUAAAUAGGCUAAAUAAGUGUAUCGGAAGUCAUCAUAUUCGUUGGCACAUAUUCCUUCAUGGAUAAGAUCCCUUAAAUCAUUAACAAAUAGAAUCCAUUUAAUCAUACUUGGCUGCAAUCGUGACCGUCUGAAAGAUUGUAAUUUGAGGACGGCUAAAACAAAUAAAGCCUUGAAAAAACAAUAUAAAAAGAUCAAAAUAAAUUCGUAAUUCUCAAUAGGCAUUUUUCAAAAAAAAAAAAUUAUAAUAUGCCUUUUUCUACAUUUUUCUCCAAAAUAUGCCUUAUAUUCAUAAUAUAAUAUAGUUAGUUUACACAUGACUCCUUAUCAUUCUUACAACUUUUUCCAAGUUACUAGAAUCUGAAUUAUGGUACCAACAAAGUCUCUACAACUUUCUUUUCUUGAAAUCUAGUGAAAGAAUGUUGCUAUAGGUAUAUCAAAUGGCACAAAACUAGGUUCUUGAAACUCACAAAAAGUUGUUUGUAAAGUACUACAUAUUUUCAGUAUUUAAGUAGGUAUGAACAUGUAAAAAGAGUACCUUUGUAUGAUUGAUAACUAUCUUCCUUAAAAAUAUCAAAUUAAAUUACGAUAAUACAUAUAAUGUUUUUUUAUUACGGACAACUGUAUAUCGCUGUUAAAUUAUCUAGUUGUACCAGUUGAUAUAUAAAAAAGUUAGAUGAAAGUCUACUCACAGAACCGUAUGAUAUAUAUGAAAUUUGAUUCUGUAAAACUUGGCCAAAGCAAAAGGCUAAGGGCCAUAUUAAACAUCAAAAGAAUGAGUAUACUAAUACCACUCUUGAAGAAACCAUGAAGAAGACAAAGCCUUAAGGACUGAACUUGAACCUAGACAUUAUUAAGGCUAUAUGCAUUUUAUCCGACGUGGCGGCAUCUUUUCAGAUUCUGGGACCCACGUUUCACAACCUAAUUGGUCAAGAAUCUGUUGGUUAUACCGGGAAUACUGUAAUAAAUUGAUAAGUCAACCUCUAUUUUAUGUUGUGCACAUAAGUUGUUUUCAAGUAUAGUAAUACUAGGAACAUGUAUAGUUGCUAGAUAUUUCUAUAAUUUUAAAAUUUUAAAAUUUGUCCCAGAAAUAAAUAUUUAGGGAGAAACUUGGAAAAGACAAAAACAUGAAAGGACAAGAAGAUAUAUGUGUGACGUGAAUAUAUACAAUUUCACAUCUUUUCUAAUAAAUUGCAUACAAUAAUAUACUGUAUGUUACUAUAAUAAAUUGUUAAGUCAACCUCUAUUUUAGGUUGCCAAUGCACAUAAGUUGUUUUCAAGUAUAGUAAUACUAAGAAACAUGUAUAGUUGCUAGAUAUUUCAAAAAAUUUAAUUUAUUUUUAAAAGUUGUCUCAUAAAUAUAACUUUUUUAGGGAUGAACUUGGAAAACACGAAAACAUUGGAGGAUAAGAAGAUAUAUGUGUGACGAAUAUUGCAUACAAUUUCACACCUUUUCUAAUAAAUCUCAUACAAUAAUAUGUGUUACUAUAAUUAAUUGUUAAGUCAACCACUUUUUUGUAUGUUGCCAAAGGCACAUAAGUUGGUUUUAAGUAUAAAUAAAAGGUAAAAAGAUGAAUAGUUUUUUUUUUUGUCGUCUAGAUUUAUUAUUAAUUGCAAAUUAUGAGAACUGUUACAUAGACGAUUCUACAACUGACAAUUCCUUCCGACCCUUACUAGAUUCACGACAGACUACACUUCCUUCUUCGUAAUCUUGAUGAAUACCUUCAAUGAUCCACGACCUCGCUACACUUCCUUCUCUGCGUAGAAUCCUGGCGAACGGCUAUAAUUGUACAUCGCUGGAGAUCUCUUGCACACUUGCCUCCAUUAAUCUGCAAAUUUGUUAAUAAAUCGCAAUACCUGGGACUCGAACCCCAGACUUUUUGGUGUAGAAGCAUUAAUCAACCCUUGGUCAACCAAUGGGCCAAGGGGGCUUCCACAAAAAAAAAAAAAAAAAAAAAAAAAAAAAAAAAAAAAAAAAAAAAAAAAAAAAAAAAAAAAAAAAAAGAUGAAUA